GACAGAGGGUGCAAACGUUGUUCGGAAUUACUGGGCGUAAAGCGCGUGUAGGCGGCUAUGUAAGUCGGGCGUGAAAUCCCACGGCUCAACCGUGGAAGUGCACCCGAGACUGCGUAGCUAGAGUCCUGGAGAGGAAGGUGGAAUGCUUGGUGUAGAGGUGAAAUUCGUAGAUAUCAAGCGGAACACCGGUGGCGAAGGCGGCCUUCUGGACAGUGACUGACGCUGAGACGCGAAAGCGUGGGGAGCAAACAGG
rnacentral:rRNA from 1 species